UGAACCUAAACGAAACUUUCGGGCAUCCUAGCCUAGUUACCAUGGCUUCAUGGGUAGCAUUAUACACUUUUAAGUCAUAACCUAAGGUUACGAUCUUCAAUCCUAACUCAUGGGCUUUCUCAAAUGCAAUAAAUGAAUGUGAUGCUCCCGAAUCAAAUAAAGCAUUUAAAGUUUGACCAGCCAUUUCACAGUUACCUCGAAUGAGUGUCUCGGAUCCCUCUGCACCCACAGCUGAGGUGGUGAACACCCGACC
rnacentral:lncRNA from 1 species